AGCGCCGCUGAGGGCGGCCGGAGGCAGGGUAGAAGAGCAAAGUAAGAAGAGGAUCCUUACCCGAGUUAACAUGGACUUUCUUCAUCCAGGGAGCCCUCCUACUUGCUGUCAACUGAAUAAAGUUAGGCGGGCAUGUGACCGGCCCGGCCAAUGGGGAGCCGGGAGCCCAUCACCGGAUUUCGCCGCAGCUCAGUGUUUCCACCGAUUUCACCCCAGAAUAUCCCCGUAACCGAGUGACCCCCCUCCCCGGCGGGUCGCACCCCCCGAGCAGGUGCCGGGGUGCCAGGGCACCCCUGGGGCAGCGGUGUUCCCCCUGGCCUGCAGGUAGAGCCAGCCUUUUGUCUGAGCUGGCGGCCCUCCGCCCCGGUGGACUGUGCUCUGCCGUCUGAUUUCCCAUCUGCGACAGCCACCGGGGUUUGUUACCUCGCUUUAAGUAAAACACCGAAAGAAAUAUUCGGACUGAGGAGCUGAAGUGGGGUUAAAAGGGAGGAAACCGAUAAGGAGGCGAAGGAAGGCAAAGCCAUCCAAGAAGAGGGUAAUAUGUUGUACAAUAGGUCUGUUCUGCCUUUGUCUCACAGAGGUCAUCCAAAAGUUACCAGAAUUUAGUUCUGCUGAAUAAAAUUAGGCAAUCA